CCAGCAGCUGCGGUAAUUCCAGCUCCAAUAGCGUAUAUUUAAGUUGUUGCAGUUAAAAAGCUCGUAGUUGGAUUUCGGGUGGGUGACAGCGGACCGGCUCUGCUGUGUACUGCUGUUGCCUUCCUUUCUGACGGGGACGGGCUCUUGGACUUCACUGUCCGGGACUCGGAGUCGGCGAGGUUACUUUGAAAAAAUUAGAGUGUUCAAAGCAGGCCUACGCUUGAAUACAUUAGCAUGGAAUAAUGGAAUAGGACUUUGGUGCUAUUCCGUUGGUUAAUGGGACCGAAGUAAUGAUUAAAAGGGACAGUUGGGGCCGUUUAUAUUUCGUUGUCAGAGGUGAAAUUCUUGGAUUUACGAAAGAUAAACUUCUGCGAAAGCAUUCGGCAAGGAUGUUUUCAUCGAUCAAGAACGAAAGU
rnacentral:rRNA from 1 species